UAGAUAAUCCAUAUAUUUGCCUAUGAAUCC
rnacentral:piRNA from 1 species